rnacentral:rRNA from 1 species
CCGGAGAGGGAGCCUGAGAAACGGCUACCACAUCUACGGAAGGCAGCAGGCGCGUAAAUUACCCAAUCCUGAUUCGAGGGAGGUAGUGACAAGAAAUAACAACUCGGGGCCUCACGGCUUACGAGAUUGCAAUGAGAACAAUUUAAAUCUCUUAGCGAGGAACAAUUGGAGGGCAAGUCUGGUGCCAGCAGCCGCGGUAAUUCCAGCUCCAAUAGCGUAUAUUAAAGUUGUUGCAGUUAAAAAGCUCGUAGUUGAAUUUCUGAUUAUGGAUGUAGCGGUUUCCGUUACAUUUGUAGUCAUCCACAUGAGAACCUUUCUCGGCCUUCACUGGUCGGUUGGGGGAUCAUGUACUUUACUUUGAAAAAAUCAGAGUGUUUCAGGCAGGCGUUUUGCAUGAAUACACAAGCAUGGAAUAAUGGAAUAGGACUAGGGUCCAUUUUUAUUGGUUAUUGGACCAUAGUAAUGAUUAAUAGGGACAGUUGGGGGC